UACGGAGGGUGCGAGCGUUGUUCGGAAUCACUGGGCGUAAAGGGAGCGUAGGCGGCGUGGUAAGUCAGAUGUGAAAUCCCGGGGCUCAACCCCGGAACUGCAUCCGAUACUGCCAUGCUAGAGGAUUGGAGAGGUAGCUGGAAUUCUUGGUGUAGCAGUGAAAUGCGUAGAGAUCAAGAGGAACACUCGUGGCGAAAGCGAGCUACUGGACAAUUCCUGACGCUGAGGCUCGAAGGCUAGGGUAGCGAAAGGG
rnacentral:rRNA from 1 species